AGGAUGAACGCUGGCGGCGUGCUUAACACAUGCAAGUCGAGCGAAGCAUUAAAACCGAUUUCUUCGGAAAGAAGUUUUAAUGACUGAGCGGCGGACGGGUGAGUAACGCGUGGGUGACCUGCCUCAUACAGGGGGAUAACAGACAGAAAUGUCUGCUAAUACCGCAUAAGCGCACAGUGUUGCAUGGCACAGUGUGAAAAACUCCGGUGGUAUGAGAUGGACCCGCGUCUGAUUAGCUAGUUGGUAAGGUAACGGCUUACCAAGGCGACGAUCAGUAGCCGGCCUGAGAGGGUGAACGGCCACAUUGGGACUGAGACACGGCCCAAACUCCUACGGGAGGCAGCAGUGGGGAAUAUUGCACAAUGGGGGAAACCCUGAUGCAGCGACGCCGCGUGAAGGAAGAAGUAUUUCGGUAUGUAAACUUCUAUCAGCAGGGAAGAAAAUGACGGUACCUGACUAAGAAGCCCCGGCUAACUACGUGCCAGCAGCCGCGGUAAUACGUAGGGGGC
rnacentral:rRNA from 1 species